GGUUUAUAGAGACCAACAUCAGGGUUGGAUCUGGUUUAUAGAGACCAACAUCAGGGUUGGAUCUGGUUUAUAGAGACCAACAUCAGGGUUGGAUCCGGUUUAUAGAGACCAACAUCAGGGUUGGAUCCGGUUUAUAGAGACCAACAUCAGGGUUGGAUCUGGUUUAUAGAGACCAACAUCAGGGUUGGAUCUGGUUUAUAGAGACCAACAUCAGGGUUGGAUCUGGUUUAUAGAGACCAACAUCAGGGUUGGAUCUGGUUUAUAGAGACCAACAUCAGGGUUGGAUCUGGUUUAUAGAGACUAGCCUGCAUAUGUUAUAGCCUGUAGAUGUUAUAGUCUGUAAAUGUUAUAGCCUGUAAAUGUUAUAGCCUGUAGAUGUUAUAGCCUGUAUAGUUCUUGCACUCCAAAUUGAAAAGUUUGACACAUCUUUACACUGUAGCCAUUCUAGCAGAUGCUCUCCAGAGCAACGUACAAGGACUACAUUCAACAAAGCAAGGUGAAACUAUUUAAAAGCACAGCCAUCUCAUGUCAACCCUCAAAGUCGAGUGUCUGGAGCGAGGUUUUAACUUCUGAGUAUAACGCAAACCAGUUAAAACUAAUUAAUUGUCUGGGGUAAGUAAGGACUUCUUCAAAAUCUUUAUUUCAACACAAAAACAAACACACAAACUUUCAACAAAGUACCCAAAACGGACACAGUAUGAUAUCCAUAUAAAAUUGAUGGUCUCCGAAAUAAAACAAAAUUAUAUUGACACAUAUAUUUCUUGGAGUGGGAAGUUGGCAUGGUGAUAUAAACAGGAAGACAUGUUGUUAAAAUGUCUGACAUGGGGGGGGGGAAAGGAAAACAUUAAAAUGUCUGACAUGAGGGGGGAGAAAAAGGAAAAUGCAUCUCAAAUGGUACACUUCCUUAAAUACAUUACCAGCCAAAACUUGUAGAACACCUACUCAUUCAAGGGUUUUUCUUUAUUUUUUUACUAUUUUCUACAUUGUAGAAUAAUAUUGAAGACAUCAAAUCUAUGUAAUAACACAUAUGGAAUCAUGUAGUAACCAAAAAAGUGUUAAACAAAUAAAAAUACAUAAUACAGAUUCUUCAAAUAGCCACCCUUUGCCUUGAUGACAGCUUUGUACACUCUUGGCAUUCUCUCAACCAGCUUCAUGAUAUAGUCACCUGGAAUGCAUUUAAAUGUGACAAGGUAGGGGUGGUAUACAGACGAUAGCCCUAUUUGGUAAAAUACCAAGUCCAUUUUAUGGCAAGAACAGCUCAAAUAAGUAAAGAGAAAUGACAGUCCAUCAUUACUUUAAGACAUGAAGGUCAGUCAAUAUGGAACAUUUCAAGAACUUUGACAGUUUAUUCAAGUGCAGUUGCAAAAACCAUCAAGCGCUAUGAUGAAACUGGCUAUACAGUUGAAAUUUGUCCUUUGGUCUGGAGUCCAAAUUGGAGAUUUUUGGUUCCAACCACCAUGUCUUUGUGAGACGCGGUGUGGGGGAACGGAUGAUCUCCGCAUGUGUAUUUCCCACCGUGAAGCAUGGAGGAGGAGGUGUGAUGGUGCUUUGCUGGUGACACUGUCAGUGAUUUAUUUAGAAUUCAAGGCACACUUAACCAGCAUGACUACCACAGCAUUCUGCAGCGAUGUGCCAUCCCAUCUGGUUUGGGCUUUGUGGGACUAUCACUUGUUUUUCAACAGAACAACGACCCAACACACCUCCAGGCUAUGCAAGGGCUAUUUGACCAAGAUGGAGAGUGAUGGAGUGCAGCAUCAGAUGACCUGGCCUCCACAAUCCCCCGACCUCAACCAAAUUGAGAUGGUUUGGCAUGUUGGACCGCAGAGUGAAGGAAAAGCAGCCAACAAGUGCUCAGCAUAUGUGGGAACUCCUUCAAGACAGUUGGAAAAGCAUUCCAGGUGAAGCUGGUUGAGAGAAUGCCAAGAGUGUGCAAAGCUGUCAUCAAGGCAAAGGGUAGUUAUUUGAAGAUUCUCAAAAACAAAAUAUAUUUUGAUUUGUUUAACACUUUUUUGGUUACUCCAUGAGUUACUACAUGAGUAAUUUCAUAGUUUUGAUGUCUUAACUAUUAUUCUACAAUAUUGUAGAAAAUAAAAAUAAAGAAAAACACUUGAAUGAGUAGGUGUUCUAAAACUUUUGGCCACGGUAGUGUAUUGGUACGGUGGCGUACGGGCCGCGGCGGUGUACGGGCCACGGUGUUCUAUGGGCCACGGCGGCGUACGGGCCACGGCGGCGUACGGGCCACGGCAGCGUACGGGCCACGGCAGCGUACGGGCCACGGCACCAUACGGGCCAUAGGUUGUAACGGUUCUCUUGUGGUGAAGGACAGUCGGACCAAAAUGCAGCGUGAUGAUGAUUCAUGAUAUUUUAAUAAAGGAAAAAAAUAUACAUGAAGAAACUACAAAAUAAUGAAAUGUGAAAACCGAAACAGUCCUAUCUGGUGUAAACACAGAGACAGGAACAAUCAGCCACAAACAGCCCUAUCUGGUGUAAACACAGAGACAGGAACAAUCACCCACAAACAGCCCUAUCUGGUGUAAACACAGAGACAGGAACAAUCACCCA
ensembl:lncRNA